rnacentral:pre_miRNA from 9 species
UCUCGAUAGCGUAAAAGUUAACUCAAAUUUGUAUGGAGUUGGAACGUUUACCUACGUUUGCCUCUAAGGGCGCUGUUCCAACUGCAUAUGAAUUCGAGUUAACUUUAACGUUAUCGA